GACGAACGCUGGCGGCGUGCCUAAUACAUGCAAGUCGAACGCAGUGGGGACGGGUGAGUAACACGUGGGUAACCUCCCAUCAGAGGGGAUAACACUUGGAAACAGGUGCUAAACCGAUACUGAUGGAUGGACCCGCGGUGCAUUAGCUAGUUGGUGAGGUAACGGCUCACCAAGGCCACGAUGCAUAGCCGACCUGAGAGGGUGAUCGGCCACACUGGGACUGAGACACGGCCCAGACUCCUACGGGAGGCAGCAGUAGGGAAUCUUCGGCAAUGGACGAAAGUCUGAUCGAGCCAUGCCGCGUGAGUGAAGAAGGUUUUCGGAUUGUAAAGCUCUGUUAUUUGAGAAGCGGUACCAAAACAGAAAGCCCCGGCUAACUACGUGCCAGCAGCCGCGGUAAUAC
rnacentral:rRNA from 1 species